AUGGGAAGACGACGCAAAAGCAAACGCGGCGGCGUCGUGCAGAAUCCCAGGACACAUGAGGAGGAUCGCUCAGUCGCGUUGGCGGCGGCAGAGGCGGCGGCGGAUGAGGCCCGUUCUGCGGCGGACUUGUGCCCCUACUGCCGAACCUGCCGGUCUCGCGUUGGGCCUGGCGGCGGCGGCCCCUGCCCCUGUUCCGACACCACCUCCGCCCAACCGUCUGCCCCCUCGCGCGGUAGCGCCGUCCCCGCCCAACCGUGCCAGGAUCAUGUGGCCGAGCCUCCAUCCGCACGGGCUCAGCCGCAACCGUCUGUCUCGUACUUGAGCAUCUUGCUCGGCACUACAACACUCAAGGACACUGCCACUUCCUCAUCCUCCCCACAGGCUGUAGCUGAGACCCCGCCACCCAAGCCAACCAUUUAUGUCAACGACCCUCCUGAUUGGUACUUCAGUAUUUACAUCAGGAUCGAUCGUUCAGGAUCUUUCCACACAUAUCCUCAUCUUGGUGGACCAUUCAAGAGCUUGCAGGAAGUUGAAAAGGCUAUUGAGAGCUAUCUUCAUGACAAGCGGCAUAAAACACUGUGGAACGAGCAAGCUGGGGAUUCUGGCAUGGACAUGGUUAUAAAAAAAGGCUCUUUACUGGCCUGA
rnacentral:rRNA from 1 species